CUGCUGUCUAAAUUCCACACAUGCGCCAAAUGGAACGCAUAGAUGCACAGUGGAACGCUGGACUAUGACGCAUACCAGUAGUGACACAUCAAUGCGCGUCUUACGUAUGUCGGAACGAUAUGGUGAAAGCGAGGCUUGACACUCAGGCCCAUGGGGAAUGCAUCAUUGGAUGAACUUACCGACAUCUUGGAAUACAUGGACAUUAUUUGAGAAUGCCGCAAAUGGUGCGAAAAACUAUUUCCGCUGGAGGGAUUUAAAUACAGGACAGUAACCAAAUGAAUUUAAUGCACUUGAAAAAGACUUUACGUUGAAACACAUUG